AUCUAAUGAGCCGAAAAAGACGCCGAGACUAGUCAGAAAAAACAGCAUUAAUAGUGGCAAACCAAACUUUUCUGACAUUGCAGAGUUUCAGAAGAGUCUCAAACAAGAAAGCAGCAGUUCUAAUAAUCUAAGCAGCUAAAUAUUCUUCAUCAUCUGCAGUCGUUGAUUAAACAAUGUAUAUUUAAUAUUUUUGCAUUAUUAUUUAUUAUGAUACAGAUUCAUGUAAUAUCAAAAAUAUCAAGCAUUUGGUUACAGAA